rnacentral:lncRNA from 1 species
AUUGUAUCACUAUUAUCAAAUCACCAACAUUGAAUCAUCAUCUUCAAAUCAAUACUGUUAUUGUUGAAGCAUUAACAUAAACAUUUUGCAAAGCUGAUUUUGAAUUUGUUCUAUGUCAGAGUUGAACAAAUCUAAGACCAAUAUCGAGUUCAUCAUCCCAUACAAACAAUUGAAAACUAUAAUGGUCUUCAAACAAAAACAAAAAGUUAAACAUUAAACUAAGUUUGUUGCACACGAAGUAACACCAUACUUAUACGAAGAAGAAGCAGAUAAAGAUUAGAACAUGUAUCUAGUCCGCACAGAUAAAUAAAUUAAACAGAUAAAGAUUACAACCAAUAAAUAAAUAAAUUCCUAAAAAAAUAAUAAGACAACAAAAAUGUAAUAAUACAUGACAAACAAAUAUAAACAACAAAUAAAUAAACCUUAAAAGAAGAAACGGACACUCGACCCCCCACAAACAAAGACAUAAAAUGAGGAACAAAAAUUAUCUUCAGCCUCUCCUUCGCAACCUUCUUUCCUUCAGUCGUAUUUAGAAUAUGGUGAUUUGAUGUUGAUAAUAUAAUAAAGGUGAUGCGAUGAUAUAAAAAAGAGAAGAAAACCCUAAUUACAAAGCUUAUUUUUGAGUUUGAAUGAAAUAGUAAAACAUAACAGCUCAAUUUUCCUUAAUUUUAAUUUUUUAACUAUUUAAUUUAUUGAUCUGCUGUGUCACUCAUCGAUUUACCACAUACAUUUUUUUUAUUAGAUUAAAUAAUUUUAAAACUAAAUUGAAUUGAUUUUGAAUUAAAAAAUACAUAGACAGAAAAAACGUAAAUUUACAUAAACAAAUAAAAUAUUUAAAGUUUUUUUAUUAUUUAAAAUGUAACAUGUCUCAUAAUCUAAUGAUUCACCUAGAACCAAUCUAUUAAUCAUCAAGUUGGAGUAAUUUAUGUCAUUUUUUUUCUUUAUUAAAAUGAGUAAUUAAUCAAAAUCGAUCCGACUCAAUCUGUCUACUCUCUAACUAUCAAUACUUCAUAAACUCACCCUUUUAAAAAAACACAUCAUAAUUCAUAGUAAGUAUUUUAAUAAGUACAUUAAUAAAAUUAAUUUAGAAAAAAGUAUAAUAGUAAUAUUGUGAACAUAAAAAAACAAUAGUACACAGUAGUAAGUAGUAACUAUCAAAGGGUUCUGACAAAUGAAUAUUCACGAGUAAGUGAUGAGCAUAACCUUUUACUCUCGUUUUUAUAGUGUCAGUUUGUUAGAGAUCCAAUGUGCUUUUACUAGGUGUGAAAAACUGAUUAAGAACAAAAAG